UUAUGAUGAUGAUGAUGGUGGUGGUGGUGAUGAUGAUCCAAAAACAAAGAUGAAGACAUAUCGCAUAUCAAAAUAAUCGGCAAUUUACAUAUCAAAUCAAGAAUGUUCUACGAUGAUGAAUGAUUGAAUGAAAGAAUUUCAGUGAAUAAGAAGAAGAAAAAAAAACAUGAAUAUCCCGAAAAAAAACAUUUAACCAUUUCACACGGUGACAACAACAAAAAAAAUAACCAAUUAUUAUUAUUAUAUCCCAAACUGUUGAUUGUGUUGUUUACCCGAAACUAUACUGAACUUUUUUUUCGGGUGCAAUAUAUCCAUUUCUCUCUCUCUCUCCC